GACGAACGCUGGCGGCGUGCCUAAUACAUGCAAGUAGAGCGCUGAAGGAGGAGCUUGCUUCUAUGGAUGUGUUGCGCACGGGUGUGUAACGCGUAGGUAACCUGCCUGGUAGAGGGGGAUAACUAUUGGAAACGAUAGCUAAUAUCGCAUAAUAGUUGAUGUUGCAUGAGAUUUGCUUAAAAGGUGCAAUUGUAUUACUACCAGAUGGACCUGCGUUGGAUUAGCUAGUUGGUGGGGUAACGGCUGCACAAGGCGACAAAACAUAGCCGGCCUGGGGAGGGGGACGGCCACACUGGGAACGGAACACGGCCCAGACUCCUACGGGGGGCAACAGUAGGGAAUCUUUGGGAAUGGACGGAAAGCUGACCGGACAACGCCGCGGGAGGGAAGGAAGGUCUCCGGACGUAAAGCUCUGUUGAAAGGGAAGAACGAGUGGGAGAGUGGAAAGUGCACGCUUUGACGGUAUCUUACCAGAAAGCGACGGCUAACUACGUG
rnacentral:rRNA from 1 species